rnacentral:rRNA from 1 species
UACGGGGGGAGCAAGCGUUGUUCGGAUUUACUGGGCGUAAAGGGCGCGUAGGCGGUCAGCACAAGUCAGUUGGUGAAAUCUCCGGGCUUAACUCGGAAAGGUCAACUGAUACUGUGCGACUAGAGUGCAGAAGGGGCAACUGGAAUUCUCGGUGUAGCGGUGAAAUGCGCAGAUAUCAGGAGGAACACCGGUGGCGAAGGCGGGUCUCUGGGCCGAUACUGACGCUGAGGAGCGAAAGCGUGGGGAGCGAACAGG